CCUCGGGCGGCAGCAGUGGGGAAUAUUGGACAAUGGGGGGAACCCUGAUCCAGCCAUGCCGCGUGUGUGAAGAAGGCCCUCGGGUUGUAAAGCACUUUCAGUGAGGAAGAACGCCUGGUGGUUAAUACCCAUCAGGAAAGACAUCACUCACAGAAGAAGCACCGGCUAACUCCGUGCCAGCAGCCGCGGUAAUACGGAGGGUGCGAGCGUUAAUCGGAAUUACUGGGCGUAAAGCGCGCGUAGGUGGCUUGAUAAGCCGGUUGUGAAAGCCCCGGGCUCAACCUGGGAACGGCAUCCGGAACUGUCAAGCUAGAGUGCAGGAGAGGAAGGUAGAAUUCCCGGUGUAGCGGUGAAAUGCGUAGAGAUCGGGAGGAAUACCAGUGGCGAAGGCGGCCUUCUGGACUGACACUGACACUGAGGUGCGAAAGCGUGGGUAGCAAACAGGAUUAGAUACCCUGGUAGUC
rnacentral:rRNA from 1 species